AGAACGAACGCUGGCGGCAGGCUUAACACAUGCAAGUCGAACGCUCGUAGCAAUACGGGAGUGGCAGACGGGUGAGUAACGCGUGGGAACAUACCCUCCGGUUCGGAAUAGCUCAGGGAAACUUGGAUUAAUACCGGAUACGGCUGAGAGGCGAAAGAUUUAUCGCCGGAGGAUUGGCCCGCGUUCGAUUAGCUUGUUGGUGAGGUAACGGCUCACCAAGGCGAUGAUCGAUAGCUGGUCUGAGAGGAUGAUCAGCCACAUUGGGACUGAGACACGGCCCAAACUCCUACGGGAGGCAGCAGUGGGGAAUAUUGGACAAUGGGCGCAAGCCUGAUCCAGCCAUGCCGCGUGAGUGAUGACGGCCUUAGGGUUGUAAAGCUCUUUCGCUCGGGACGAUAAUGACGGUACCGAGAUAAGAAGCCCCGGCUAACUACGUGCCAGCAGCCGC
rnacentral:rRNA from 1 species